CAAUCAUAUACAGCAUUCCUUUCAGAGAUUUUUCUGUAUCGGGCAGCUGGUUCUCUUGAAGAAGUAGACUCGGGGAUGACAGAUGGGUUCGAGUUAUUCAUAGUUUCCCAUAUGGACUGUAAACUGGCGGCACUAUUUACUCCUUUCGAGUACGAAGAACUCCGAGAAGAGCUGAGUGAGUAUGGCUUUAACGUGCCAGACGUAUUCGUACUCAAGUUAUUUGUGGAUGCCGAGAGAUUCACUUCAUUCGACCAACUAUCACGGUUCUUAACUGUAUAAGUUCCAAGAUCGACAUCCUCUGGAGAUAAUGGUGUUGACGGUUUAGAAUUGCUAUAUCGAACAUUGGUACGGAUCGAUGGUAAUGAGUUAUGGGAUUUUAGCUUGCAAUUGUCCGAUUGGAAAUUAGCUAACGAAGCCUCAUAAGGGUUAAAAUUCGAAGAAGAUAUCCAUGGUGAAACUGAAAAACGAAAUUUUGGAUCUCCGUUUCUAUUAGAGUUCAAAUUUUCCUCAGAAGAAGAUGCAGACAAUAUAUUUUCACCUGUUACGUUUUUGACUGCUGUUCCAAAUACAGGAGCAUUCGUGGAUUUAAUACUGUUCGAACUUAAUUUUCGAGAAUAAUUCAACGAACUUGAAACAUCAGCCAAAGCAGUUGCCGAAGGAACAGACAAAGAAUCCUGCAAUGACAUGCUCUUAGGAGCUGAAGUUGCGUAUACUGCAUGCUUUUUAGUCCCAACAACAGGUCGAACUAAUUCUACAGAAACAGAGGUAGAUGGGUUAUGAGCAAAUGCAUCAUUUUGAGAAGAAGCCCCAUCAGACAUGAUAUUUGCAUUAGACAAGAGCGUUUGUAAUUCUUCAAUAUGUUUCGUUUUGGUACACAAAUCUCUUUUCUGAUUGUCGAUCUCUCGUUGUUGACGUUGAACAACAGUGCUUAAUGCAUGGAGUUUCUUUGUAAUAUCGAAAUAAGAUUCGCUUUCACUAACAUUUGAAAGUUCAUUUAAUUCUGACUUGGAAUGCUCCAGCGAUUCAGAGAUUGAAUGAUUUGCAGAAGUCGAAGGUAGCCUUAAAUCAAUUGACUGCAUAAUAAACUCUAUAAAUAAAAACUAAUAUUUAAUGGAUAUGGUUUUUUCUGUUCUUUCGGAAAUUGGAUAUUGGUGGAUGAAGAGUUGCUGACACCAGGCUAUAAAUAUCCAACCAAAACAAAUAGUGUU